GUUCCCGACACCCAGCGAGGCUGAGCAAACUGAGAAGUUGGAGUUUGGAGCAGAGAAAGGUUGGUUGCAGCGCCCAGCAAGGAGAACAGACAAGUUAUACUCGAAAAGACACCAACUCCCUGAUGGUUUUCAAGCAAGAGUUUUUAAAGGGAAGGUCUAGGAGACGGAAAGUUUUUUCCUACACAUCACAAAGGACCCAGAAAGGCUUUCGUACCCAGGACCAUCCUCUCAUUGCUACAAACCUUCGGCGUCUGUGUUUUGGCUCCUGUACGUCAGGCAAGAACCUGGUUUGGAUGCAAAUUUCGGGAACCAGCCAGGAGAAUAAACCUGUGCAAAGAAGAUAGAAGAUUUUGCCCAAACAGGAAAGGAAGAUGAGAGAAACCUGUUUUGCUUGAUUCACAUGCAAAGGAGUCAUUGCUCUUGUGUUGCCAGUGCUGUGAGGUCAGCCAACACUCUACCUUCUUCUCUACCCUGGAAGAUGGUAUUGCUGCUCUUUCCCCGCCAGGAUAUGAGCCACAGCCUCAGGCUCCGGUGCCCCCUGGUCUCUGAGGGUCAAGAAAGAAAUAGAAGGGGUCUCCCCCCUCCUCAUUAACCUGCUGGGGUACUGACUUGGCCAGGGAGCAACCACUCAGGUGGGGCAACAUUGCUUAAGCCAAGUCCCCCCUGGGGAUGUGAAUGCUGAGACUGGGCAAAGGUGAUGGGAUGGAUCUGGGUCCACUCCCUGUUUCCAGGUUCAGAUUUAAUUGGAAGAACCAUAUGCCAACUUAAAAGACCCCAAGAGAAUGGAGAUCUUCCUUCACCAAUCUGUGCAAACCAACACGGCCAGCUGUUCAAAGCUUACUACAUACCCUGCUCACUUCAGAUGGGCACAGAAUGUUGGAUAAGCCUGGGGAAGGAGGCAUGUCUGCCCCAUACAAAACCCCCUGGCCACCCAGGACAGACCACAGCAAACAUAGCCGUACCUUCAGUGGAUCCCAGUUGGAUGUGAAUGCUGGGGAGAGACCCGAACUUGACUGACACAGAGAAUGCAUUUUUGCAGGACUGCAAAGAGGGUGCAAGAUGAGCCUCCAUAAAGUACAGAAGGUAAAACAAAAUUGAAUGAGGAUCCUUCAAAAUUUCU